AUGAUCUGGCAUGUACAGAAUGAAAACUUCAUUCUUGAUUCUACGAGAUUUUUUAUGAAAGUGUUUCAUUUGCUUCUCUUCAAUGGAAGUUUCAUUUUCCCAGAAUGUAUCCUAAUUUUUGGCCUAAUUCUUAUUCUGAUGACCGAUUCAACCUCUGAUCAAAAAGAUAGAGCUUGGUUCUAUUUCAUCUCUUCAACAAGUUUAGUAAUAAGCAUAACGGCCCUAUUGUUCCGAUGGAGAGAAGAACCUAUAAUUAGCUUUUCGGGAAAUUUGCAAACGAACAAUUUCAACGAAAUCUUUCAAUUUCUCAUUUGA
rnacentral:rRNA from 1 species